GCGCGUAGGUGGCUUGAUAAGCCGGUUGUGAAAGCCCCGGGCUCAACCUGGGAACGGCAUCCGGAACUGUCAGGCUAGAGUGCAGGAGAGGAAGGUAGAAUUCCCGGUGUAGCGGUGAAAUGCGUAGAGAUCGGGAGGAAUACCAGUGGCGAAGGCGGCCUUCUGGACUGACACUGACACUGAGGUGCGAAAGCGUGGGUAGCAAACAGGAUUAGAUACCCUGGUAGUCCACGCCGUAAACGAUGUCGACCAGCCGUUGGGCGCCUAGAGCACUUUGUGGCGAAGUUAACGCGAUAAGUCGACCGCCUGGGGAGUACGGCCGCAAGGUUAAAACUCAAAUGAAUUGACGGGGGCCCGCACAAGCGGUGGAGCAUGUGGUUUAAUUCGAUGCAACGCGAAGAACCUUACCUACCCUUGACAUCUACAGAAGCCGGAAGAGAUUCUGGUGUGCCUUCGGGAACUGUAAGACAGGUGCUGCAUGGCUGUCGUCAGCUCGUGUUGUGAAAUGUUGGGUUAAGUCCCGUAACGAGCGCAACCCUUGUCCUUAUUUGCCAGCGAGUAAUGUCGGGAACUCUAAGGAGACUGCCGGUGACAAACCGGAGGAAGGUGGGGACGACGUCAAGUCAUCAUGGCCCUUACGGGUAGGGCUACACACGUGCUACAAUGGCCGGUACAAAGGGCUGCGAGCUCGCGAGAGUCAGCGAAUCCCUUAAAGCCGGUCUCAGUCCGGAUCGGAGUCUGCAACUCGACUCCGUGAAGUCGGAAUCGCUAGUAAUCGUGAAUCAGAAUGUCACGGUGAAUACGUUCCCGGGCCUUGCACACACCGCCCGUC
rnacentral:rRNA from 1 species